CUGCUCUCCGCCAGAGAACUACAAGUGAAAAACUUUAAACUCAAAGGACUUGGCGGUGUCCCAUAUCGACCUAGAGGAGCCUGUCCUAUAAUCGAUAUUCCCCGCUCUACCUAACCUCAACUAGCACCCCCAGCCUAUAUACCGCCGUCGACAGUCUACCCCAUGAGGGCCCAACAGUAGACACAAUAGCCCAACCGCUAACACGUCAGGUCAAGGUGUAGCACAUGCUGAGGAAGAGAUUGGCUACAUUUUUUACAUUAAAAAACACGAAAUGCAACAUGAAACCCUGCAUGAAGGUGAAUUUAGUAGUAAGAUCUAAUGAGAGUAUUUAUCUUAACAACGCUCUGGGACGCGCACACACCGCCCGUCA
rnacentral:rRNA from 1 species